rnacentral:lncRNA from 1 species
AGAUUUAAGGGCUAAAAUGUACUUCCCAGGAGACAUCCUGGCUGCUAGGAGUGUGUAGAAGCAUUCAAAGUGGGUUCCUCUGGAGUCGGGUGAAUGACACAACCUGCUACAGGUUUGGUCUGUAUUUUGUAAGCUGCGUCAGCAGAGCUUUCUAUUAAAACUCCAGUGAUGGGAUCCUUUGUGUUUAGAAUAUACUCUAAC